UACGGAGGGUGCAAGCGUUAUCCGGAUUUACUGGGUGUAAAGGGAGCGUAGACGGUUAUGCAAGUCAGAAGUGAAAGCCCAAAGCUCAACUUCGGGACUGCUUUUGAAACUGUGUAACUAGAGUGCAGGAGGGGUAAGCGGAAUUCCUAGUGUAGCGGUGAAAUGCGUAGAUAUUAGGAGGAACACCGGCGGCGAAGGCGGCUUACUGGACUGUAACUGACGUUGAGGCUCGAAAGCGUGGGGAGCAAACAGG
rnacentral:rRNA from 1 species